rnacentral:rRNA from 1 species
UACGUAGGGGGCAAGCGUUGUCCGGAUUCAUUGGGCGUAAAGGGUGCGUAGGCGGCGCGGUAAGUCGGGUGUGAAAUCUCGGAGCUUAACUCCGAAACUGCAUUCGAUACUGCCGUGCUUGAGGACUGGAGAGGAGACUGGAAUUUACGGUGUAGCGGUGAAAUGCGUAGAUAUCGUAAGGAACACCAGUGGCGAAGGCGGCUCACUGGCCCGAUACUGACGCUGAGGCACGAAAGCGUGGGGAGCAAACAGG